rnacentral:tRNA from 1 species
GGCAGUGUGACAUAGUGGUAAAGAGCAGGGCUUGUAACCGAGAGGUUGCUGGUUCGAUUCCCCGCCGGGGUACUGCUG